rnacentral:lncRNA from 1 species
AAUUUUCAAAUCAUAAUCAUAAACAUAUCAAUUAUGUUUGUAGGUGUUCCAUGCCAGUUUCCAAAUGGAGACAUGUAUCUAGAUGAUUUUUAUCCGGACUAUUGGGAAAGCAUGGAAAGAAACAUGGUGGAUUUACUGUGCUGUUUACUGUUCUGACUAUAAUCGUAUUCAAAAUAAGGGGGAUACCAAACCUUCAUUAAUGU